UACUACCGAAGCUACGGCAUCAGUAAUGAUGGGUAGGGGAGCUUCCCAUACGGGUUGAAGCAUGACCGUAAGGACAUGUGGACAGUAUGGGAGUGAGAAUGUUGGCAUGAGUAGCGAGAUGUGGGUGAGAAUCCCACAGGCCGUACACCCAAGGUUUCCAGGGGAAGGUUCGUCCGCCCUGGGUUAGUCGGGACCUAAGCUGAGGCCGAAAGGCGUAGGUGAUGGACAACAGGUUGAUAUUCCUGUACUACCGAUAACCGUUUGAGAGAAGGGAUGACACAGUAGGAUAAGCUAAGCACACUGUUGGUUAUGUGUGCCCAAGCAUUGAGGCAGUCAAAGUAGGCAAAUCCGCUUUGAUAAUGCUGGGAUGUGAUGGGGAGCGAAAUU
rnacentral:rRNA from 1 species